AAUAAGAAUAAGGAAUAUUACCAAAAUUGAAAAGUACAAGGCUGAAUAACGACGAACAAUACGUUUCCGCAGUCUAUUCUGCUUGGUAGAGAAAAUAGGAGGACGAAUUUGACGACUUGGGCGCAACCAGAAAAGAAGAACUGAAUGCCAACGAUCAAUAUAUGGGAUACAAAUCACAGGAAGCAUAAAAAACAGUAAUAAGUGACCCAAGAAGAAAUCAGUAGCAAACAAAUUAAGUUCUAUGGCUUUACAGACAAAUUCACGAGCAGGCAAAGUAAAGGCAUGAUAGCCAUAUCCUUUGCCAUACCAUUUACCACUCCACCAAGAAAUAUUAGCACUAUCUUGUUUGACCUCACGAGAUAAACAUAAUAGUGUUAAAAUUUUGAAGAUAAAACGAUGAAUUGCAGUAACAGCACAGAAGGCCAACACAGUCUUGGGUAAUGACCAUCCAUCAAGGAACCAGCAGACUUCAAAAAUAGCAAUGAAGAUGAAAAUUUGGAUCGUGUGGGCAAUUGCAGCAAAAAUAGAUGGAAACUUUUUACAGCACAAUCCAAAGGCUGGACCCAAACAACAAGCCAUACCACCAAAGAAACCUGACAUACCAAAGCCUGCUGCAAUAGGAAUGAGAGAGAUAAUAACAAGUCGCAAAAUGGGAUUAGUACCUGUCUUUGUGUCAUGAACAUAUGGGCUUGGAUUAUUUGGAUCAGUGAUAAACAUGGGAUUUCCAGGCUGAGAAUUGAUAAAGAAGUAAGGGAUAAUGGCACCAGCAGCUAACAAGGCAGGGAUUAACACAUCGCUAAAGAAAACAUUCGUAAACUUUGCUCGUGGAGUAUCCAUUGAAAUUUUAUCGCUUGGUUGACCUAGUACCCUACGUUUGUAACCAGUUAUUCUAGUGCGGGUUAAUCGACAAUAUCCGAUCCAUGAAUUGGCAUGAGAACGAGAAUUACCUCUCGAAAGCCAGCGAAUAAACUCUCUAUAAUCAACAAAGAAAUCGUUCCAAUCAAAUUGAUGAGGAUUGAACAAAAAUGGAGCAACACAAAGAGCCAUGAUUGACACCCACCAAUAGAUCAAGUGCGCAACCCAAACAGUCAUAGUACCAAACAACAACAUC